rnacentral:misc_RNA from 1 species
UCUAUUUGUAUUAGUUUCUAUUAAAUUAGGUUUUUUUGUAAAAUUAGGAAUCUUGUAUAUAAAUAGCCAUAUGUACAAAGUCAUUGAUACAUAAUGGCACUUGGGACAGAUAGAGCUUCCUUGUUGAGGGUAAAUAUGGCCAAGAACCUAGCAAUUAGACUACUACUUUAGCUAUCUUGAGACUUGUCUAAGUUGGGGGCUAUAUUUGUAGCAUUUGAGGUGGCAAAUGUGAGAAGUGUAAUGAUGAUAUUCAGUGAUUUGAUAACUUAUUGUAGGAAGUUUCUUGUUAAAAUCUCUUAAAGUUUUAAGUCAUUCUAAAGGCAGAAAUAUUUCCCAGACCUCUAUCCAAAUGAGAGUAGGGUUUGAUUUCCCCUCAGCACUCUAGGGAUUAGAGUCACUUCUUGAGUAUUUCACUCGGUUGGGAUUGAUUAGGUUUGUCUUUAGAAGGAAGUCUCUCAAAUCGGACGGUCUUUGGAAAGAGGUAUCUCAAAUUAGACCUUCAAGUGCCUGUGUAAGCCAAUGGAAUGUGACAUGUGUUGAUAUUCCAGUGAUCAUCCUAUUUUGUGUAAUAUCACUUACCAUUGAGCUCCACGUGGUGACUUAAAAAUGAAUUAACUUUUGUAGUUUCAACAAUCUCUCCUGUGAAAAAAUCAUUGAAACAACAAUCUUUUGGUUGUUUUAAGGGAAACUUUUCUCAUUCAGCCUUGCCUUCCAUCUGUGCGUGCAUGUCAACACCGUCAUUAAUUAUACAUGUCUAUUGUUUGGUGGAUGCAAUUGUUACCAAUUCAAAGAUUCAUGGACCAAAUUUAUAAAAUUGAAAAAUGGAUGCAAAAUUAGGACAUUUGAGAUCAUUAGGCUAAGAAAAAACUGAAGUUUUCACAAUUAUGAUUUGAAUCAAAAUAUUUCCAUCGAGUGGUCAGAGGAAAAUUAACAUUGGAGCUUCAAUUAGUGCCUUUAGACAGGAAAUGCAAAUGUCUCAAAUGCAUUAUGAAACAAUUCAUGGGUAGAUGUUAUUGUUCUCUC